rnacentral:rRNA from 1 species
UGCUUGGACGUUACUCGCAGAAUAAGCACCGGCUAACUCUGUGCCAGCAGCCGCGGUAAUACAGAGGGUGCAAGCGUUAAUCGGAUUUACUGGGCGUAAAGCGCGCGUAGGUGGCCAAUUAAGUCAAAUGUGAAAUCCCCGAGCUUAACUUGGGAAUUGCAUUCGAUACUGGUUGGCUAGAGUAUGGGAGAGGAUGGUAGAAUUCCAGGUGUAGCGGUGAAAUGCGUAGAGAUCUGGAGGAAUACCGAUGGCGAAGGCAGCCAUCUGGCCUAAUACUGACACUGAGGUGCGAAAGCAUGGGGAGCAAACAGGAUUAGAUACCCUGGUAGUCCAUGCCGUAAACGAUGUCUACUAGCCGUUGGGGCCUUUGAGGCUUUAGUGGCGCAGCUAACGCGAUAAGUAGACCGCCUGGGGAGUACGGUCGCAAGACUAAAACUCANAUGANUUGACGGGGGCCCGCACAAGCGGUGGAGCAUGUGGUUUAAUUCGAUGCAACGCGAAGACCCUUACCUGGUCUUGACAUAGUA